GGUUUCCCGAGUGGAGGGUAAACAAAUAAAACAUAAAAUCUCAAAAUUGCACCCGACAAGAUAAGAGUCUCUUCGACUUCUUUUUUUUCCCAGAUCUCGGCUCUGCGUUUCUCCUCUCACCUCUCGGCUCUGCAUUUCUUCUCCUCCAUUCCAAUUUUCUCAUCUCACCUCUUGGCUCUGCAUUUCUUCUCCUCCAUUCCGAUUCUCCUCUCACCUUUCAGCUCUGCGUUUCUCCUCCUCCGUUCUUCUUCUCCAAAAAUCACGUUUCUCCUCUUCCACUCCAUCAUCUUGCUACGCGCCGUUGGUGAAGUUGGUGUGCCAAUGUAAAUAGAUUAUCAAAAUCUUGCUAGAAAGAGGGGGUGCACCAUUUGCCAACCACAACGUCUCCUAUUUGCAGAACUUCCACAUCUCUCUAGCAGACACCUCACCCACCUCCGCAUCUCAGGCUUUUAUCUCCACCGACGGAGUCAUUAAUGCAAGGGCUCGGAUGUUGGGUGGAGGCACUUGCAUCAAUGCUGGCUUCUACACAAGAGAAAGCCCCAGGCUGGAGAGUUCUCUUCUCGCAUUCAGCAGCUAGCUAGCCGUGGUUCUGCUGCCAACCAAGACUUGGUCGGUUCAAAAUUUUGGAUGAGUUGAUCAUUAACCUGUUGCUGAAGAAGGCAUCUUAAUAUAUGAAUCAGCUGUGCCAAGUGAAGCCAGGCAAUGUGCUGAGGUGUUCCAUAUGUGCCUUCACUAUGGUCCAUGAAGCCAGGCAAUGUGCCUUCACUAUGGUCCAUGGAGAAUUUUUAUUCCUUCUUCCCCAAUGACAUCCGACUAAUUUUCCCCUGUUCUGUUUUUUCCCGUUCUCUGUUAUUCUUCUUUGAUAGAGAACUGUAUAUUUGGCUGUACUUGAAAAGCUCCAACCAUGUAAUUUUGGUGUAUGCUGCUUAUUGGAAGUAAUUUAGACUC